ACUCAAAUGAAUUGACGGGGGCCCGCACAAGCAGCGGAGCAUGUGGUUUAAUUCGAAGCAACGCGUAGAACCUUACCAAGGCUUGACAUGUACCGAACCCUUUGGAAACAGAGGGGUGCCCGCAAGGGAGCGGUAACACAGGUGGUGCAUGGUUGUCGUCAGCUCGUGUCGUGAGAUGUUGGGUUAAGUCCCGCAACGAGCGCAACCCCUAUGGUAUGUUGCAACCCGGAAGGGGCACUCAUGCCAGACUGCCGGGGACGACCCGGAGGAAGGUGGGGAUGACGUCAAAUCAUCAUGCCCCUUAUGUCUUGGGCGACACACGUGCUACAAUGGCCGGUGACAGAGCGAAGCGAAGCCGUGAGGCGGAGCAAACCGCAGAAAACCGGUCGUAGUUCAGAUCGCAGGCUGCAACUCGCCUGCGUGAAGCCGGAGUUGCUAGUAAUCGCGGAUCAGAACGCCGCGGUGAAUACGUUCCCGGGCCUUGUACACACCGCCCGU
rnacentral:rRNA from 1 species